rnacentral:piRNA from 1 species
UUCAUUCCACAAGGACCGUCCCUACUUA